GGAGGGAGGAACAUCAGGGGAGUGAAACAGGGGAGGCGAAGGAUAAAGCUGCUGGCGAUUUUUCGGUGGCUCAGUGCGCCGCGGAGCAGGCGCCACGAAAGAGGGAGGCUGGUUGUGGUGGUUCGCGGGUGGCUGGGCAUGGGUCGAAAAGACGCAGCAGAGGUACGAUUGCAGGGCUGCGAAGGGGAGAACAGGAACUGGCGGUUGUCGCAGCUUGGUUGGCGCAACUUGGUGGUUUGAUUGGUGGUUCAGGGUGGUCGAAGGUGGCGGUUUCCAGCGGAGAAAGAAAACAGAGGGGUUGGUGUUGGUUUGGUUUCAAUUUCAUUUUUAAUUUUCAAAAUCAAAAUCAGAAAUUAAGGAAGAAGAUAAAGAAUUGAAGCAAACCUUUUGAGAUUGUUUGCUUGAGUAAUAUGACGAAGAAGAAAGGAGGAGAGGAAGAUGUUGAUAUCCUGGUUCUUGUGCUGGAAAUUCAUACGUGAGAGAAAGGAAGGAGAUGAAGGAAGAACAUCAAUUUUCCUGUUUCUUUUUAUUUUGUUUUUAUUUUAACUUUUCUUUUUGACUAAGAGACAUGUGGGCUAUGGACUUAUAUUUGGGCUUUGGAUUGCUAAUAAUGGAUGGACAACUUCUACAAAGAUACGCACAACCAAAAGUAAAGAGUUUAAUUAAUUAGAAAUAAUAAAAUGAAUAAUAAAACAAAGAAAUGAUUUAUUAGUUUAGAUAAAUCAAAACUAAAUAAAAUCAUUAUUUUAAUAAACAUAGUUGUCAAAUAAAAUCGCAUUAUAAUAAAAUAAAUUUUGAGUGGAAAUAAUAUUAAACCUUAAUAAAUAAUAACUUCUGAAAAUUCGGGGUAUUACAGGAAGAAAAGGGAGCACAAGAACAUAAUGUUACUAGAACAGAAGUAGGACAAUAUCUUAUCCAUAUAUUUUCCGCAUCAAUCGGAUUAAUUUAUAAAUUUUUACCAAAUAAAUAUUAGUGUACAAUAUGAAUCCCCUACAAAGUAGCAUUUAUUGAGCUUAUUCUGAUCAGCAGGCCUACUAGCUACUCAAACACCAUUUUCAAUAUCAGGGCUAUUAGCUUCGAUACCCGGAUAUUCUCUUAGCGGUGAGAGCAUAUAUAUAGAGUAUACAACCUACAUGUGCUUCAUGGCCUUCAAAUCUAAAUAUUUUUCUUCCUCAUAAAUCCCACACAUGUUCCAUAAGAAGCCUGAGAACUUAGAAGGGGCAUAAGGAAACAAGCUAAGGGAGAGAUAGAGAGGAGUGAGAGAAAUAAGCGAAAGAAGAGAUAGAGAAGAAGAUAAGUGAGUUUAAUAUGGGGAAGACAAAACGAGAGAGAAAUAUUAAUAGAGUUGGACAAUUGGUAUUAAAAUGAUAGCAAAAAAAACAAAAAAAUUUGAACUUGGAAGGGAGAAAGACUCUAAAUUUGUAGUGUACUUUGGUUAUGCCUAUUUCUCCUUUUUAUUAAGUGGGCCUGGAAGUCAUUUCAUUUAGACUUUACAUGAGAUUAGUUUGUAAGAUGAAAUGCAAGUUGUAAUAUGCACUUAGAUAUGAAUGAAUUGAACUGAAUAAUCCCUUUGGUGAAAAUAAUAUCAAGUUAUUUGAUGUAAUUAUGCACUUAAUCUUUC